AGCAUACUCCCUCCGUCUGGAAAAACUUGUCCCAAGCUUGUUCCUCAAAUGGAUGUAUCUAGCACUAACUUGGUGCUAGAUACAUCCAUUUGAGGGACAAGCUUUUUCGGACGGAGGGAGUACAAC
rnacentral:pre_miRNA from 1 species